rnacentral:lncRNA from 1 species
GCAUUCUUCAAUAAAUUCUUGAUAUAAAAAUUACAAAUAAUGUUCUUUGAAUGAAAAAGUAACUCACAUAUUUUGCAGAUAGCAUUACAAAGUCCUCAGCAAAUGCAAAAGAACUGAAAUAAUAGCAAACAUACUCUCAGACCACAAUGCAAUUAAAAUAGUAUUCAAGACUAAGAAAAUUACUCAAAACCAUACAAUUACCUGAAAAUUAAACAACCUGCUCCUGAAUGACUUUUGGGUAAAUAAUGAAAUUAAGGCAGUUACAUAAAGUCAUCAACGCAAUAAAAGAGCUUUUUCAUCUGUUAGGGGGAAACUGGCAUCAGCUCCUGCCUAAAAUUCUACCAUCAUUAUUAGCAACUUUUCUGAGUGUAGGCUGAAUGUCAGUUGGGUUAUCUGGAUACCCAACUC